rnacentral:lncRNA from 1 species
AAAUGAAUAAAUCAAUCCCGCCGCUGGCCACCAUAAUGUCACGGAGCUGUUCUAAGGCACUGGCUUUUAAGACUGUGUUCAGAUAUAUACAAAUUUAUUAUCAACAAUUCAAAUAUAUACAGUUCAAUUAAUUUACAUUGUUAAUCCAGAGACACGUCCAUUCUCUUUCACUAACUCUCUCCAAUUCUCCCGAAACUUUACAUUCAAUCACUUUUAUCAUCGCAAAGGCCCUUGCUACUUUCAUGACUUUCUCACACAUAAAAUCGUCA